UACGUAGGGUGCAAGCGUUAUCCGGAAUUAUUGGGCGUAAAGAGCUCGUAGGCGGUUUGUCACGCCUGGUGUGAAAGUCCAUCGCUUAACGGUGGAUCUGCGCCGGGUACGGGCAGGCUAGAGUGCAGUAGGGGAGAUUGGAAUUCCCGGUGUAACGGUGGAAUGUGUAGAUAUCGGGAAGAACACCAAUGGCGAAGGCAGAUCUCUGGGCUGUUACUGACGCUGGAGGGGCGAAAGCAGUGGGGGAGCG
rnacentral:rRNA from 1 species